rnacentral:lncRNA from 1 species
UUUUAUAUUUUUAGUAGAGACGGGGGUUUCACCAUGUUAGCCAGGCUGGUCUCGAACUCCUGACCUCAGGCGAUCCACCCACCUCGGCUUCCCAUGUUGCUGAGAACCACCAUGCCUGGCCAUACCUGCAAUCUCAACACUUUGGGAGGCUGAGGCAAGUGGAUCACUUGAGCCUAGGAGUUUGAGAACAGCCUGAGUGAGCAACAUGGCAAAAUUGUCUCUACAAAAAAAUUCUUUAAAAAAUUAUCCAGGUGUGGUGGUCCAUGCCUGUGAUCUCAGCUACUUGGGAGGCUGAGGUGGGAGGAUCACCUGAGUCCCAGGAGGUCGAGGCUACAGUGAGCCAUGAUUGUGCUACUGCACUGCAGCCUGGGCAAGAGUGAGACCUGUCUCAAAACAACAACAGCCACCAAAAAAAAAAAAAAAAAAAAUUGGUUAUUUACUAAAAGACCUUCAUGUGAAAGUUACGUAAAAUACUUUUUCUCCUGGGCCAGGUGUGGUGACUCACACCUGUAAUCCCAGAACUUUGAGAGGCUGAGGUGGGAGGAUUGCUUGAGUUGAGGAGUUCAAGACCAGCCUGGGCAAUAUAGUGAAACCCCCAUCUCUACUAAAAAUGAAAAAAGUUAGCGGGGCAUAAUAGUGUAUGCCUGUAGUCCCAGCUACUUAUGAGGCUGAGACAGGAGGAUUGCUUGAACCCAGGAGGUUGAGGCUGCAGUGAGCUAUGAUAGCACCACUGCACUCCAGCCUGGGCAACAGAAUGAGACCCUGUCUCAAAAAUAAAUAAAUAUAUAAAGAAUACUUUUUUUCUCCUUCUCUCUCUCUCUCUCUCUCUCUCUCCCCCUCUCCCUCUCUCUCCUGUCUUCUCUAGUUUGCAACAGACACAGCAGCUAUGUUACAACCACAGAACAAGGUUUUGCAACAGAAUGGCCUUGAAAUAGAAUACUGUCCAGUUGAAACCUUAAGCAAUCAAAAUGGAAUAUAUGAAACCAUGCCUGCUAGACUUCAUGUGUUGCUUCUUGUAAGGAAAGCUCUUCCAUCCACCUUGUGUGGCCUUGUAUUCGCGGCUGCAUCCACCUCCUCCACAGUGGCAUAUGUGACAAACCCAAAGCCCCUGGAGCACUUGGUGCUUGGAUCUCUCAUGACCACACAGUCCGUGAGUGUUCCCCAUUGGUCAAAAUGGCUCCUCAGGCUCUCAUCGGUUGUUUCAAAGUUCAGCCUCCAAUGAAGAGCUUCCUCAGCUGUUCCAGUUCUUUAGGAAACUCCGCCUUAGACAUGACAGCAGGGGGAAGAGAGACUUUAAUGAUGCUCCCUCUGUUGUGUUCAUGGGCCUAAAUAGGUAUUUUCUACUUUGUACUUUUUUUUCUUAAAGAAGUAAAAUGGUGACCAG